rnacentral:lncRNA from 10 species
AAAGUUUGGGAUUCCCAGUCUACAAAACCCCACAGCUCCUAGGAAUUCUCUCACCACCCUUGUGCCUUUAGGCUUCGGUAGAUUGCAAAUGACCUGCUUUCUUUCGGAUCCCGGGCUGCUUUCGGACACCUGUCGAAUAGUAAAUCCCAAGUAAGGUACCUGCGGUCGUCGGCAGAUCUGAAUUUUCUUCUUGGACACCUAAUACCCACAGCCCUCCAGAGACCGAGAGGUUGAUGUCACUCCCAAUAUCGGAGGAAGUAUACACCCCCGUGUGAGAUGGUCCUUAAUAAUAUUCCACGGCGGAGGGGGUGAUAUGACUACAUACAUGGCAGAAAGUGGAAACCUCCCAGGGAUAUUGUUCCCACGAUCCUGGAGGGAAGAAGAUGAUGUUACUUUCAAUAUGACAGAAGGUGGAUGAAGUGGUGGACUGCCCCUCCACACCUGUGGACACGCCCCCACUGAUAUUCCUUCUAAUUGCAGCGUGGGAGAGGAGGAUAUGACACGCGAUAUCGCAGGGAGUAGAAACACCCCUGUGAUACUGUUCUUAAUAUUCAGGGAGGAAGAGGAUGAUAUUACUCCCAAUACAGACGGGUGUACACCCUCUGUACACCGAGGGUGUACACCUGUCUGUGAAAGAGUUCUUAAUCUCCAGAGGGGGAGAUGAUAUUACUCACAAUAUGGUAAAGAGGCUGUGAGUCCACGGAGGAUCCUCAGAGCCAGCGGGGGAAGAGGGGCUGGCUCUCAGUCCCCGCCUCGCGGGGGUGACUCCCCCCAGUGCGAUGGGGGUCCUAAGAGCCAGUGGGGGAAGAGGGGCUGGCUCUGAGACCCCGCCUCGCGGGGGGUGCCUCCCCGCCCUGUGAUGGGGGUCCCAAGAGCCAGAAGGCUUAGAGGGGCUGGCUCUCAGUCCCCGCCUCGCGGGGGGUGCCUCCUCCCCCUGCGAUGGGGGUCGUAAGAGCCACUGGGGGAAUAGGGGCUUGCUCUCAGUCACCGCCUCGCGGGGGGUGCCUCCUUUCCUUUCUACAUAGACACAGUGACAGUCUGAUCUCUCUUUCUUUUCCCUACAGAUGGACACGCCCCCACUGAUAUUGUUUUUAAUGCAGCGUGGGAGGGGAGGAUAUGACACGCGAUAUCGCAGGUAGUAGAAACACCCCUUUGAUAGUGUUCUUAAUAUUCAGGGAGGAAGAAGAUGAUGUUACUCCCAAUACAGACGGAUGUACACCCUCUGUACACCGAGGGUGUACACCCGUCUGUGAAGGAGUUCGUAAUCUCCAGAGGUGGAGAUGAUAUUACUCACAAUAUGGUAAACAGGCUGCGAGUCCAUCGCGGAUCCUCAGAGCCAGGUGGGGAAGAGGGGCUGGCUGUCAGUCCCCUCCUCGCGGGGGGUGCCUCCCCCACUGCUAUGGGGAUCCCAAGAGCCAGUGGGGGAAGAGGUGCUGGCUCUCAGUCUCCGCCUCGCGAGGUGCCUCCCCACCCUGCGAUCGGGGUCCGAAGAGCCAGGGGGGAAGAGGGGCUGGCUCUCUUCGUGGAUGAUUCUUUUUCCAUUCUCAGGCAGUUUUCUUUUUUCUUUCUUUCUUUUUUUUUUUUUUGAGACUGAGUCUUGCUCUGUUGCCCAUGCUUUGCUCGAUCUCGGGUGACUGCAACCACUGCCUCCCAGGUUCAAGAGAUUCUCCUGCCUCAGCCUCCUGAGUAGCUGGGACUAGAGGCGUGUGUCACCACACCCAGCUAAUUUUUGUAUUUUUAGUAGAGAUGGGGUUUCACCAUGUUUGCCAGGAUGGUCUUUAUCUCCUGCCCUUGUGAUCCACCCACCUCAGCCUCCCAAAGUGCUGGGAUUGCAGGUGCGAGCCACCGGGUCCAGCCUCUCAGGCGAUUUUCAUACCUGCAUACUCUGAUCACUACUCUGUUAAACAGUCAAGGAGGGUAAGUAUUAUCUUCAGAUUUCCAGAGCUCUGUCUCUGUACAGCCCUCUCCUCCUCAAUAUUCUGCCCUAUGAAUUCUAGCCACAUUGGCCUUCCCAGGCUCACAGUUCUGUCUUCUCAACUCAGGAAGAUCUCUGAGUUCCAUCUGCAUUCUUUCUUCCUGUGCUGUGGCCUGGAAAGUUUUCUAAGGUGUUAGGGAGGUCAAUUGUGGGGCUAGCCUCAUUUGUUUCUCAUCUCUUGAGGAUCACUGCCCUUUGAUGCUUGAUUCCAGUGAUUGAUUCCCUUUGUUGCUUGAGGGCCAUAGUUUCAUAUAUUUUGUCCAGUAGUUUUGUUGUUUUAGGUCAGAAAGUAAUUUUGGUCUCUGUUACUCUAUCUUGGCCAGAAGUGUAAGACCUAAGCAUUUACACAUCAAAAUACUGCACACAUAAUUUUAGUUUAAGCUACUUUUUAAAAAAUCUCCUUCAUUUUCCAUUUAGCAUUCUAUUUAGGGUAUUACAUUGGUUUUUUUGAAAUUCUGUUAUUGGCAGUUUCUAUUGCCUAUCAAUCCCAUUUAAAGAUAGUGCAUAGGGUAUUCUAAAAUAGCUGUUAAGCAAAGAGAAAAUUGGGCCUGAUAGGGUGAGAAUCACAGCUCUAAUACCUAGAGUGACCUUAUAAUGUAUUGUCCAAAGGAGAUAUUUUUGACAGUGAAAGAGGGUGUUGUUAGUAAUUAUAUCAGGACCAUGGCCUAAACCAGGACUAUCCCAGGAAGCCUGGGACAUAUUUGUACCCCAUCUCUAUUUAAUGCCUUUAUACAAUUCUUUACUUAAUUCUACCAGCCUUUAUUGAGCCUGCUUUCUUUGUCUAGCUGAGUGCCACGUGCUGACGUCACUAAGAUCAAUACAGCAAACUCUGAAAGAUGGACAGAGAGACAGGAGAUGGUCCUUUAUAAUGCAGUGUGAUCUGUGCUGCAAUAGAGAUGGAAGAGUGUUCUGAUUGGCUGGAAAACAAUGCACAUGGGAAGCUGUACAGAAAUGAGUGGGGAAAGUUUUGGAAGCUAGAAGUUCAAAACGAGGUGUUGGCAGCACCAUGCUCUCUCUGAAGAUGCUAGGAAGAAUCUGCUCCAUGCCUUUCCAUUCGCUCCUGGGGUUUCCUGCAAGCCCUGACAUUCCUUGGCUUGUAGAUGCAUCACCCCAGUUUCCGCCCCCAUCAUCACAUGGCCUCCUCUCUGUGUGUGCCUCUGCGUUCCCUCUAUUCUUCUUCUAAGGACACCGACACCAGUCAUAGUGGAUUAAGGGUCCACUCCUAACCAAUUACAUCUGCAACAACCCUAUUUCCAAAUAAAGUCACAUUCUAAG